AUUGAACGCUGGCGGCAGGCCUAACACAUGCAAGUCGAGCGGGGUUUUCGGACCUAGCGGCGGACGGGUGAGUAAUGCGUAGGAAGCUACCCGAUAGAGGGGGAUACCAGUUGGAAACGACUGUUAAUACCGCAUAAUGUCUACGGACCAAAGUGUGGGACCUCCGGGCCACAUGCUAUCGGAUGUGCCUACGUGGGAUUAGCUAGUUGGUGAGGUAAUGGCUCACCAAGGCGACGAUCCCUAGCUGGUUUGAGAGGAUGAUCAGCCACACUGGAACUGAGACACGGUCCAGACUCCUACGGGAGGCAGCAGUGGGGAAUAUUGGACUAUGGGCGCAAGCCUGAUCCAGCCAUGCCGCGUGUGUGAAGAAGGCCUUCGGGUUGUAAAGCACUUUCAGUAAGGAGGAAGCGUUGAGUGUUAAUAGUACUCAGCGUUGACGUUACUUACAGAAGAAGCACCGGCUAACUCUGUGCCAGCCGCCGCGGUAACAC
rnacentral:rRNA from 1 species